rnacentral:rRNA from 1 species
AGAGUUUGAUCCUGGCUCAGAUUGAACGCUGGCGGCAUGCUUUACACAUGCAAGUCGAACGGCAGCACGGGGGCAACCCUGGUGGCGAGUGGCGAACGGGUGAGUAAUGCGAUCGGGACGUAUCCUUGAGUGGGGGACUAACGCAGGCGAAAGUUGUGCUAAAUACCGCAUAACGCUCUGAGGAGGAAAGCGGGGGACCGAAAAGGCCUCGCGCGUGUAAGGAGCGGCCGAUGUCCGAUUAGCUAGCUGGUGAGGUAAAGGCUUACCAAGGCGACGAUCGGUAGCUGGGUCUGAGAGGAUGAUCAGCCACACUGGGACUGAGACACGGCCCAGAC